AAAUUGAAGAGUUUGAUCAUGGCUCAGAUUGAACGCUGGCGGCAGGCCUAACACAUGCAAGUCGAGCGGUAGCACAGAGAGCUUGCUCUCGGGUGACGAGCGGCGGACGGGUGAGUAAUGUCUGGGAAACUGCCUGAUGGAGGGGGAUAACUACUGGAAACGGUAGCUAAUACCGCAUAACGUCGCAAGACCAAAGUGG
rnacentral:rRNA from 1 species